GGUCGCCUUUGGUGAUUGGACGUUUGAUCAACCGGCGGGAGAAACCGGGUGCGGAGAAGGCAAAGUUCACCUGAAUGCCCCAAGAUGCUCGCGCAUCAUUGGAGCCGCGAAGUGGCAUUCAGGGAGCUAGAGGCGAUUCAGGCCUGGCGGCUUGACAGAAGACGCCUCGAGCUUGGCUGAGUGGAGUUUUUGGUAUGUUUCAAGAUCCUUCGGGGUUGCGACGCUAUCAGCCAAAAGUGACGCGAAGUCCGGUUAAGAUUCCUUCGGGGAGAUUGACUGAGUGAGAAGCUCAAGCCCACUUCGAGCUUGAGUGGAACGCAGUUGCCUAAAAGGUGUAGGUUACCUACUGUAGUAUCAGCACGGCAGGGAUCAAAAAUUGGCCGACAACGGUUAGCCAGACGAAAUCCUCUGAAAGGAGGGACAAAGCUGGGGUUCCCGUCGGGAUAGCCACGAACUUAAGACAACAGUCGUGAAAACUAUCCGGAUCGGUGGCGAUGUAAAAAGUGCAGCGCUGCCAAGUGAAUAAAUGGUGACCUGAGGGGUAAGAGGCGAGACCCGUGGCACGGGCCAACGCACCGCCAAAAGCGGUGGCCGACCUGUGUCAGAUGGCCCGGAUGUGAAAGGUUCACUUCCUCAUCCAGGCCUGGUUCGCAGGUCAGUGGCCGCAACCACUGGCUGAAGCGGGCAAAUAAACCUCACCCAACAAUUCAUGUGCCGAGAGGCCUUGAACGGCCCUGCUAUGAGGCCGACAACUCCGCGAGUCACGGAGAAUGGCGUCGGGGAGCGACCGACCUGCAUCGCAGGUGCCAAACGGUUGCAACGGGAAAGAGCGUGUGGCGAGCGCC
rnacentral:ncRNA from 1 species